rnacentral:rRNA from 1 species
GAUGAACGCUGGCGGCGUGCCUAAUACAUGCAAGUCGAGCGAACAGACGAGGAGCUUGCUCCUCUGACGUUAGCGGCGGACGGGUGAGUAACACGUGGAUAACCUACCUAUAAGACUGGGAUAACUUCGGGAAACCGGAGCUAAUACCGGAUAAUAUAUUGAACCGCAUGGUUCAAUAGUGAAAGACGGUUUUGCUGUCACUUAUAGAUGGUUCCUCGCCGCAUUAGCUAGUUGGUAAGGUAACGGCUUACCAAGGCAACGAUGCGUAGCCGACCUGAGAGGGUGAUCGGCCACACUGGAACUGGGACACGGUCCAGACUCCUACGGGAGGCAGCAGUAGGGAAUCUUCCGCAAUGGGCGAAAGCCUGACGGAGCAACGCCGCGUGAGUGAUGAAGGUCUUCGGAUCGUAAAACUCUGUUAUUAGGGAAGAACAAAUGUGUAAGUAACUAUGCACGUCUUGACGGUACCUAAUCAGAAAGCCACGGCUAACUACGUG